UUUUGUUCCCUGGGAGUUUCAUUUCUUCGCGGAGACCCGAAGGUUUGUCAUCUUUGACGCCAAAGAAGGAGAAGAAGAAGAAGAAGAAGGAAUAUGUAUUCCCCAAAAUUUGCUUGAUUUUCUUCAGCUUUUGUAUAUUUAUCCUGCUACAGCAUUCAACCAUAGCUAAGCCCAGAAAUGAUGUUUUAAGGAGAGACUUCGAGCAGGAUCCUAGCAACGGGUUUUUACUUAAAAGAAUGCUUCAACCACUUUGAGUGUGACUACGGAGAGACUUGCGGUGAACAAUUCCACAUUUGUGUAGCUAAUGUUUAGGAACAAGGUUUCAAACGACGUUGAUAAUGAUUUUGGUAUCGAGCAAGAUUUCACUUAAAACAACAACGAACUUUUUAACAUCUUCUAAAAGGAGAUGUAUGAAUACUUAAAAAAAAUGAAGAAUUUGAAGUUAGAUUUCGAGAACGCUUUUCGAGAACUGUUGUUGAAAGAGCGUGCCGUUAAUAAAAUGAUUUCUGAUUUCAACUUUGGCAAUUUUGAUGGAAAUAUGGAGCUAAACCCAAAAUAUAGGUGUAGUUGGCAAAUAGUAACUUGAUGAAACUAUCAAUAAAGUGAAAUUCAAACAAAGUAUAUCUUUCCAAUGCAAUUUAACCCUUUACACGCGAGCGAACGUUAGUAUUCAUAUUUUUCACACUGAUCUCUAUACAUUUCCUGUGGAAAUGACAAGUAGAAAAUUUGGACAAUCGGAAGCAUCUUAAAUGCGGUAAUCAAUUCACAGGUUACUAUUAAAUUUAAUUUAGGGAUGAUUCUCUAAGGGGAAAUUAGAACCCAGUCACUUUAGAGGGUUAAACCAUUAAAUGUCUAGAACAUGAUAAGGAGGGGGGGGGGAGGAGAAGAUCGGCACCUACU